rnacentral:rRNA from 1 species
GGAGUUUGGACCGUGUCUCAGUUCCAAUGUGGGGGACCUUCCUCUCAGAACCCCUACUGAUCGUCGCCUUGGUGGGCCGUUACCCCGCCAACAAGCUAAUCAGACGCAUCCCCAUCCCUUACCGCUAAGCUUUAUUCACCGUCAGAUGCCAUCUAGUGAAACUAUCAGGAGUUAAUCCGGUUUUCACCGGGCUGUCCCCUACCUCAGGGAAGGUUGGAUACGCGUUACUCACCCGUGCGCCGGUCGCCAUCGGAGAUAGCAAGCUACCUCCAUGCUGCCCCUCGACUUGCAUGUGUUAAGCCUGUAGCUAGCGUUCAUC